GUAGUCAUAUGCUUGUCUCAAAGAUUAAGCCAUGCAUUUCUAAGUAUAAGCAACUAUACUGUGAAACUGCGAAUGGCUCAUUAAAUCAGUUAUCGUUUAUUUGAUAGUACCUUACUACUUGGAUAACCGUGGUAAUUCUAGAGCUAAUACAUGCGAAAAACCCCGACUUCGGAAGGGGUGUAUUUAUUAGAUAAUAAACCAAUGCCCUUCGGGGCUCCUUGGUGAAUCAUAAUAACUUAACGAAUCGCAUGGCCUUGCGCCGGCGAUGGUUCAUUCAAAUUUCUGCCCUAUCAACUUUCGAUGGUAGGAUAGUGGCCUACCAUGGUAUCAACGGGUAGCGGGGAAUUAGGGUUCGACUCCGGAGAGGGAGCCUGAGAAACGGCUACCACAUCCAAGGAAGGCAGCAGGCGCGCAAAUUACCCAAUCCCGACACGGGGAGGUAGUGACAAUAAAUACUGAUACAGGGCUCUUUUGGGUCUUGUAAUUGGAAUGAGUACAAUUUAAAUCCCUUAACGAGGAACAAUUGGGGGCAAGUCUGGUGCCCGCAGCC
rnacentral:rRNA from 1 species